UACGUAGGGACCAAGCGUUGUUCGGAUUUACUGGGCGUAAAGGGCGCGUAGGCGGCAAUUCAAGUCAUCUGUGAAAUCUCCGGGCUUAACCCGGAACGGUCAGGUGAUACUGUUUUGCUAGAGUGCGGAAGGGGCAAUCGGAACUCUCGGUGUAGCGGUGAAAUGCGUAGAUAUCGAGAGGAACACCAGAGGUGAAGACGGGUUGCUGGGCCGACACUGACGCUGACAGCGCGAAAGCCAGGGGAGCAAACGGG
rnacentral:rRNA from 1 species